CGGUCCAGACUCCUACGGGAGGCAGCAGUGGGGAAUAUUGCACAAUGGGCGCAAGCCUGAUGCAGCCAUGCCGCGUGUAUGAAGAAGGCCUUCGGGUUGUAAAGUACUUUCAGCGGGGAGGAAGGCGUUGUGGUUAAUAACCACAGCGAUUGACGUUACCCGCAGAAGAAGCACCGGCUAACUCCGUGCCAGCAGCCGCGGUAAUACGGAGGGUGCAAGCGUUAAUCGGAAUUACUGGGCGUAAAGCGCACGCAGGCGGUCUGUCAAGUCGGA
rnacentral:rRNA from 1 species